AAAACGGCCCUUUUUAGGGCCACAAAUCUUAAUAAGUAUUUAUUUGU
rnacentral:ncRNA from 1 species